ensembl:lncRNA
AUGCAUUACAAAAUGUCUUCUCAGGCUUAUACACUGAAGGACUACAAAAACAUGAAACAGGAGGUGAAGCUUGGAGGUCUUGGACCAACGAACACAAUACCAGAAGCUGUGGCAGAGAAAAUUAGACGACAGAAGCUGUAUUCAAAUGUGAUCCACGAACAGAACAAGAAGAUAAGUAGGAUUCCCUCUCUGUCGGCCAAGGACCCAGUGGGCAGUGACAACAAGGACAUCGUUCCCAGGAGGAAGGCUUUAGAAUAUGCCAAAACGAUUGCAAAGCCCAAACCCCCUCCAAAGCCAAAGGAUAGAACCAGAGAGAAGAACGUGAGCAUGCGGGUUCAAUAUCCACAGGAAAUGGACCCGUUCCAUUUGGCCACUCUGGAGAUGUUGAAACGGCAUGAGGAAGAGAAACGUGCCGUGGCCCGCUUCAGAACCAUUCAUGCCAUUUAAUUCUAAAAAGCAGCAUGCAUACAUGAGUUUUAUCAAUGCUAUAGAAUACUUAUUUGUCCUUGCUUUAACUUUGUGUGUACUGUAUAUAUCCAUAAUACUCAUUAUAAUCCUCAGUUGCAAAGCACUGGAAGUGGAACAGGUGCGUAGCACGUAAUCCACUGCGUACUCGAUUUGAAAAACAUUUUUUGAUAUAAAGAAAUCUCGAAUUAAAUGCUGUGGGGUUUUGUUGCUUGGCUUUGCAUUAUCCUGCUAUUUUCCCAUUGUUUCAAUAGAUCUCUGCACAAGAGCGCCAAUCUCUUAAAGCACACCUGGAUGCACCAUUAACCCAGUGUAAUGUGCCGUUUUCUGUCAGUUCCCAGCUAUUAGUCUGAUUAUAUCCACUUUCGCCUGCCCUUUUCUUUCACAGAGAGAAAAAAAUAGGUCAAAUAAGGAUGACACUUUGAAGCCUCCCUUAUUAGAGCCCACAAACUUGUUUUCUGUAUUUUAAAGUGAUAAUUUUCCCCCUAAAACAAGCUCAAGCACCAAUUUUUUUAAUGGAAGCUUUAGAUCGUUAUCAAAGAGCUAUUUACUCCUAUGUAAUAUUUUAAUUAGAUUAUAGCCUCUAUUUAACCCAUCAUGUCUGCUUUGAUACUCUGUGUUUUCAGUGUUAAGCCUCAGAGGCGAGGCUAAUAAAUGCUGGACCUUUUGAAUUAAUGAGAAAUGC